rnacentral:rRNA from 1 species
GGCAUGCAAGUCGAGCGAGAACCCGCAAGGGGGACAGCGGCGAACGGGGUAGGAACACGUAGGUAACGUACCCCCGGGGCGAGGACAGCCACGGGAAACUGUGGGUAAUACUCGAUAAACUUCCCAAUCAUUAUUGGAGGGGAAGCAAUGGGUGUGAUUCCACCUGGGGAGCGGCUUACGCAGUAUCAGCUAGUUGGUGAGGUAACGGCUCACCAAGGCAACGACGCUUAGGGGGUGUGAGAGCAUGGCCCCCACCACUGGCACUGAGACACUGGCCAGACACCUACGGGUGGCUGCAGUCGAGAAUCUUCGGCAAUGGACGCAAGUCUGACCGAGCGACGCCGCGUGCGGGAUGAAGGUCUUCGGAUUGUAAACCGCUGUCAGAGGGGAUGAAGUGUAUGGGGGUACUCCCCUGUACUUGACAGAGCCUCAGAGGAAGCACGGCUAGGUUCGUGCCAGCAGCCCGCGGUAAUACGAACUGUGCGAACGUUAUUCGGAAUCACUGGGCUUAAAGGGUGCGUAGGCGGUUAUCUAAGUCAGGUGUGAAAUCUCUCGGCUCAACCGGGAAACUGCGCUUGAAACUGGGUGACUGGAGGGAUGCA